GACAGACAGACUACACUAGACAGACAGACUGGACAGACAGACAGACUACACUAGACAUAUAGACUGGACAGACAGACUACACUAGACAGACAGACUGGACAGACAGACAGACUACACUAGACAUAUAGACUGGACAGACAGACUACACUAGACAUAUAGACUGGACAGACAGACUACACUAGACAUAUAGACUGGACAGACAGACAGACUACACUAGACAUAUAGACUGGACAGACAGACUACACUAGACAUAUAGACUGGACAGACAGACAGACUAGACAUAUAGACUGGACAGACAGACUACACUAGACAUAUAGACUGGACAGACAGACUACACUAGACAGACAGACUACACUAGACAUAUAGACUGGACAGACAGACUACACUAGACAUACAGUGGGGAGAACAUGUAUUUGAUACACUGCCGUUUUUGCAGGUUUUCCUACUUACAAAGCAUUUUAUUGCAUGACAUAAGGAUUUGAUCACCUACCAACCAGUAAGAAUUCCGGCUCUCACAGACCUGUUAGUUUUUCUUUAAGAAGCCCUCCUGUUCUCCACUCAUUACCUGUAUUAACUGCACCUGUUUGAACUAGUUACCUGUAUAAAAGACACAUGUCCACACACUCAAUCAAACAGACUCCAACCUCUCCACAAUGGCCAAGACCAGAGAGCUGUGUAAGGACAUCAGGGAUAAAAUUGUAGACCUGCACAAGGCUGGGAUGGGCUACAGGACAAUAGGCAAGCAGCUUGGUGAGAAGGCAACAACUGUUGGAGCAAUUAUUGGAAAAUGGAUGAAGUUCAAGAUGAGGGUCAAUCACCCUCAGUCUGGGGCUCCAUGCAAGAUCUCACCUCGGUGGGGCAUCAAUGAUCAUCAUAAUUAAUGCAAAUUAAUUACUUAAAAAUCAUACAAUGUGAUUUUCUGGAUUUUUGUUUUAGAUUCCAUCUCUCACAGUUGAAGUGUACCUAUGAUAAAAAAUUACAGACCUCUACAUGCUUUGUAAGUAGGAAAACCUGCAAAAUCGGCAGUGUAUCAAAUACUUGUUCUCCCCAUUGUAUAUACUGUGCUGGACAGACAGACAGACUGGGAUGUACAGAGAGACAGACUAUACUGGACAGACAGACACAUUUACUGGGCUGUCAAGCGUAGUCUGUCUGUCUAGUAUGUCUGUCUUUCCAGUGUAGUCUCUCUCUCUGUCUCUCUCUCUCUUUCAAUUGUUCAAGUCAAUUCCAUUUGCGUUAUUGGCAUGAUGUAAGAAUGUACAUAUUGCCAAAGCUUACUUUGGAGAUUUACAAUAUUAACAUAAUUAAUAAUAAUAAUGAUCAAUAUUGUCAACAGUAACAACAAUAAUCAACAAUACAUUGAACAAUAACUUUAAACAGGUUGAUUGGUCUGUCAGACACUGUCCCUCAUCUAUUGGCUGGCAGCAAUGUAGUGUGCUGCCAACCCACAGCUCUCUGUGUCCUCCCCCAACAGGACGGGUAGCCUGUCCUCAUCAGAGAGGUCUUUGAAAUCUUGAAUAAGGUUUUACAUUUGGGGAAAUGACACUCUCUAUUUGUUUUAUAUUUUUGACAUUUUGUCAGGAAAUGCAGCUCCGUCUCAGGUUCUGCUGUGGUGUAGUGGUUGCACAGC
ensembl:lncRNA